rnacentral:lncRNA from 1 species
CAGUGCCACUUAAGUUACUAGAAUGUUCAACUGGGACUCGCCAUUUCAGAUGUUUUAGACCUCACUGUGGUUGAAUAGAGUCAAUUAGGUACCUGAGGAAUCAAGGGUUAUCAAGUUACAUAAAGAUGACUGCUUCCCUCCUCGGUCUGGAUUGUUUCUGUUGCCAUGCCAGUGUUAGCCAUCCCCAACCCCUGCCCUUCGC